rnacentral:tRNA from 1 species
GUGGUUGUAGCUCAGUGGUAGGGUGCUUACCUAACACAUGUGAGGCACUGGGUUCAAUCCUCAGCACCACA